UACAGAGGGGGCGAGCGUUGUUCGGAAUUACUGGGCGUAAAGGGCGCGUAGGCGGCCCGCUAAGUCGAACGUGAAAUCCCCGGGCUCAACCCGGGAACUGCGUCCGAUACUGGUGGGCUUGAAUCCGGGAGAGGGAUGCGGAAUUCCAGGUGUAGCGGUGAAAUGCGUAGAUAUCUGGAGGAACACCGGUGGCGAAGGCGGCAUCCUGGACCGGCAUUGACGCUGAGGCGCGAAAGCCAGGGGAGCAAACGGG
rnacentral:rRNA from 1 species